UUAAAUGGGUCGCCCCGACUUGAAUACAGUGUUUUUUCUACAGGAUCCGGGUAGACCCGUGACAAUUCGGGUGUGCUCAUUCUUUGAGUCUUAAACAAGCGGUUUUCAAUCUGUUCCUUGAUUCCUUGAUUUUAGCCGUGUGAUUUGCUUUCCCCGGAAUUCAAAUUGGACAAGGAAAUCUCGGGUGAGGAUCGUUGUUUGAUGGAUCCGUAUGGUAUGUAUCACCCGCUUUGCUUGAAGAUCAUGGUAUGGAUCAUCCGAUUCUUAAUUUCUGCCAAUUGUCGCAGGAAAUGAAGAACAAGGGCAAAAGGCGUUAAGAGAGUUCAUGUCAAUUUUGCAUUAAAGAAAUGUUGAGAAUUCACGGCCAAAUAGUGGAUCCUCUCUUGGUAACUAUUUCUUUUUAAUAUUUCUUAACUUCUGUUGUUGAUGACCUCGGGGAGCCUGGCUAGCAGAUCAUAAACACGUUUCUUUUGAUCUGUUUCUCCUUCUUUGGUACGGUCCGACUUACAAGUUCGUUGACACUAUAUAUGUGCAAGAGGUUGGAGAAUGGUUCAGAUUUAUAUGUAUUAUUUCUAAAAUACGCCGAGUGACUUAUUUAAUGUAAUUUGUAAUAUAUAUUUAUAAUUUCCCAAAUACUCUCAUGUGUCAAUUGGUUGAUUUGAUAGUGUUUGGAUGAAUGCAUACAAGAUGUUUGAAUGUCUCCGACUUCUCAUUCGGGUGAAAACAAUGAUCCUAAUAUCAUUCAGUCUCCCAGUGGACAGAUUGGUGUAGGCAGAACAACACUGGCUCAUUAUGUGUCUUAAAAGCAUGACAACACAUGUUUCAGGAAUCCAACUAUUUUUCAACCUACGUGCUCUGUAACGAGCAAGUCAUGUGCAGACGCCAGGUUCUGGCAUUAGACAUGAAACAUGGUCCAAAUCCAUUAGUCAAAGUGAUGCAUUCAAGCUCCCAGUACAGACACAAGGGUUUGAGACUACUCAGAUAUUGACACCAGACAAUGGCUAAUUAUUGAUUUGUUGGAGUUCUAUUUCCACAGCAAGCAGCUGAGAAUUUGAGAUGCAUCCUUAUUCAAUAGUCUGCAGAGUCUCACAUUACAUAUCAUGGACUUGGUACUGCCAGGAGUCUUACUAUCAACUUGGAUACCAUCUAGGACAUUAUACAUAUCUAUAAGAGUAAUGUUUGGAGGGGCUCAGGCGAUUUAUAAAUUACUGACUUGAAUUUGCAAGUCCAACCAAGUUGAGCAUGUUACAUUCUUCCUUAAAUCUCUCUAAUACAGAACCUUUGAGACCAUUAUGUGCUUCAGUGCUUCUUCUUCAGAUCCUUUUGGCACAACUCCCCAACAUUCUAUUACUUCUGGGCAUAUACGAUCAGUCUUGGAUAAACAAGGGCUGCCGAAAGUGGUACAAGAGAAGGUGUAUCCCUGAUCGAAAUUUGCUGAAAUGAAUAAGCCGAAAUGACUUGCUCGGCCCCAGAAACCAAUGCCACUGGGGAUGCUCACUGAACUAAAAUUCGUAGCACACCACUGUAUAUUGCAACUGUCUUGGUCAUACGAAUGACCAGAUUUUGCAUAAAGAGGUUGUGGUUAUCUCUGAUCUGAAAUUUUAUAUUGUUAUGAAUUACAGAGUGUUUAUUUCUUCAGUUCAA